ensembl:lncRNA
AACUCAGCCUUCAGUGCUUCUAGUUGGAAAAGAGCCAGCUGCCACUUAGAAAGAGAGAAGACGCCAUAGGGGAACAGCUCAUAGAGCUGAGAAGACUUCAGAUUGAGAGACAGCAUGUCGAUAUAUGCUACACAUCAGCCAGAAGGAAUCGAGCAUCCUUUGACCUCAAAGAGGUGGUGACCAAGCAGGGACAGGAUUCCCAUAUCUUCAUGUAGUUCAUCACACAGGAGUUUGCAGCCCCUUUGACACAGCUAGAAGAAGGGAAUGCCUAAUCCAUGUCACACCUCCAGCUCAUACCAGGGCAUGUGGGCCUGAAUUGUCAACAAACUUAAAUGCGUAACCUGGGUGUCACAGGCAAAGAGAAAAGUUUCAGGUGUUCAAGGAUGCAACCAUG